rnacentral:misc_RNA from 1 species
ACGUCACAGUCGGUUUUAUGAACGUCGGUGAUGUUUACCAUGUUAUUGAAAACAUAUUCGUCUAAAGGGACAAGGAGGUAGGCUAAAGCAGAGACCAACGUUUCCACAAAUCUGUCGAUCCACAUUCGACUGUGUAGGUUUGCAUCAAGUCUGCGUUCUUACAAUCUCUCGGUUGUAUGGUCACUGUUUUAUCAGAGCUGUUACGGGUCACCGUGAACAAGUGAACCCGGAUAUGGAUGUGGAUGAACGAUUAAUUGAAGAUUUGGACAAGAUAGCUGUGUCUGCAGCGACUGGGAAAAGACGAAAAAGAGGUAUCAGUGGUCCAGAAACCCAUGUUGUCGAUUCCGGAGCACAGAGUCAUUGGAGGAGUUUAAAUUCAAGGAAGAAGCGUCGUGUCAGAAGAUAAAAGACCACGAACAGUACACUUGUGGUUUUCUGUGUCAGGUUUUAAUUGCCUGCUUGUAACAGCGAAAGACUUAACUACUUGUAGAAACAUCAUUUACUAAAAGGAAACAUACAGUUGUCGAUAUAGAGCUAUUGAUAAUCUUCUCAAUGUUUGAAUUAAAGUCAGGCUCGCAAGAUUGUUCAAUUAUGAUCCAACAAAAUUUUGCCUUAAAAUAAACAAUUACUUUGUGAUGAAAUGCCCUCUAAUCCCGGCCCAAAGGCAAUGGCAGAUCUAAUGGGGAACCCCAACAGUCUGCUCACACACACACUAAAUUUUGCAAUAGUUACAGUUUAAUUUUAUUUUGGUCACUGAUAGGAAUGAUAUCUGGAAGGGGACACAACCACUAGUAGAGGUUACAGCCUCUUUAGUGGGGGUGGAAGGAGCACAAGCAAUAUUGUAACCUUUAUUUAUAGCGUUAGACUAAAAAACCCUGUACAUUUUAGUCCUUGAGUGGGGAUCAAGUUCCCCACCAACCCCAGUUCCUACGGACCCGUAAUCAACCAGACCUCGUUCCACGUGUUAGCGUUAAGAUCACCUUAGGUUCAUAAGGUAGUUAUGUACUUAAGGUGAUCUUAAUGCCAAGAUUGCUUUGUGGGGGGGGGGGGGGGGGGGGAGGUACAUAGUCGUUAUAUCUUACAUUGUUUGUUGGUAUAUAUACGUUGGUUUUGGUUAUGUAGUCAUCAAAUUAGAAAGAAAGAAAAAACAACUUAAAUAUUCAACUACAAAUGCUAUCUGUUUAAAAUGGGAAACGGCUUAUGACAGUCAGUGCCAGCUGAAAAGGAACGUACACACCGUGUAUAUUUCAAGUCACAUGAUUUGUGCCAGUCUGCCGGAGGCUUGUUCAGAAGAGCGACCGAUCGCGGACACUCACUAGACUUUUUUUUUAAGCCUAACGUUAGAUGCAUGUUAUACGAUAGAAAAUGAUUGUGCCACUCAAAUUGUUCGCUAGCGUUCGGCCUCCUGAACUAGCCACUAAUUUGUGGGAAUCGGUUGGAAUACCAUCAUGGACAUCGAUCAUUGGUUAUAAUCGGGUAGCACCAACCGAUCUACUCUAUAUUAUACAAUCUGUUAGAAUUAUAUAAACAAAAGAAGGAUAUUAAGGACCAGGGCCCCAUUUCGCGAAGCUAUCUUAGGACUACUAUCGCCGUAAAUACCUACCAUUUAUAAUGUCUGAUAUAUCCAUUCCAUAAUACACAAUUAUUUACAUUA